ACUGGGAGCCGGAGAUCCUUCAGUUUGCAAAUCAGAUGUCGCCUGCGGGGCUCAGAAUGCCUUGCUCUGAGGAAGAAAAGUGUAAAAUUCGACUCGCCCCCUUGCGGAGCUUACGUGAAUAAUGUUAGCAGCUAACAUUUAUGAAGCACUAUGUCAGGAACUGUUCCCAGGUUUAUUAACUUGUUUAGAGUUCACAAGAACCUUACGAGACGGGCCAUUUGUACGGCGCGGGUCAUCAUUUGUACAUGAAGAAUCCAAAGCUCCCGAUACGGUGUUAUCAGCCAGAGCCCUUGACCACCUGCUCCGAAAUCCAUCAUUCUGCGCAGCAUCCUGAAAGAUGGAGGGAAGUACUUGGGAAGAUCCCCUGGAGAAGAAAAUGGCAAAACCCACUCCAGUAUUCUUGCCUGGAAAACCCCAUGGACGGAGGAGCCUGGCAGGCAUCUUUCAAGAGCAUGAAAACAAUACCUCUAAAAUCAGAAACAAGAAAAGGACGCCCACUCUUAUGCAACGUAUUGGAAGCUCUAGUCAGAGCAAUUAAACAAAAGAGAGAGAGAGAUGAAAGGCAUUCAAAUUGGAAAGGAAGAUGUAAAGCUGUCACAAUUUAUGGAUGACUUGAUUUUGUAUAGAGAAAAGCCUACAAAAAAACUAUUUGAAAUAAUAAAAUUGCAGAGUACAAAAUCAA